AUAUGGCUACUGGGUGUAAAAGAUAAAUCUUAUUCUAUCUGUUCUUAAUGAGUUUUAGAUAAUUUUAGUUGUAUUUCUUUGUAAUUUUGUGUUGUACAAAGAUUAAUUUAACAUUUUCUCUGGAAGUAUUAAUUUAGAAAGAUAAUAUGCUUCAAUGGUGUUGUGUUUUGAAGUGUGAAAUGCAAAGUAAUUGUGAUAAAGUCAAGAUAAAGUUCACUUUUAAACUGAACUAAAUAAGGUAUCUGAGAGACAACAAUGGUUAAAUGCAAUACAAUGUACAGGUUUUACUAGCGAAAUGAAAAUUUUCCUGUCCUGUCUGCUGUAAUCAUUUUAUAUCUGGAAAACCAGCCGACUUAAUCGAUAAUAACAAUCUCCAGAUUGGGUUCCUUUAAUAAAUAUGGGCUAUAAACACAAUGAAAUAAGUUCCCCAAAAUCUAAAAUGGAGUGGUAUCAAAGGAGAAUUAAAGGAAAAAAUAUUCAUACUGAAAUUAUUUAUAAGGCACUGGACUGUCUUAAAUUCUACAAUAAUACUAGAAUCAGCUGAGAGAAGUGGUCUACAAAAAACCAGGAAGGAAACGGAAUAUGUGGCUACGAAAGGCAAAAGAAAGGUUUACAAAGCAAAUGUGACACAUUUUUUUGAAAUAUUUAGGAAUAUCAGUAAAUUGCAUUAAAAAAAUGUAUGAAAAGAUUUUGUUCAAUAAAAAUGUUUAUAUUUAUCAAGGAUGUAUUAUUUGGUAUGGCCACAUAUCGUCAGUGAUGUAAUAAUACAUCCUAUCUGUUUUUUUCAUGAGUUUUGUAAGAGAGACUAAAAACUUAUCUUAGGGUCACCUCCUGUUUUCAUAUGAUAUUUUUUGACUUGUUUUGUAGUAAAUUAAACUAUCUAUGAACUACAAAACAAGUCAAAACUUACAUAUGAACACAGGAGGUGACCUUAAAACAUGUUUUUCCAUCUCUCAUACAAAACUUAUGAAAAAACAGAUAGGAGGUAUUGUCACAUCAGCAAGGAUGUACAGUGAUGAGUGCCCUAAUAACCGGCAAAAUAUGGGCAACAUAUUUAGUUGUGAGAUAAAAAGAAAUGAAACUAGUCGAGCUGGGAAAUUUAGCGAAAUUAACCUUUAAAUUUACGUUAUAUUGAUCCCACCUUUACACAUAUCGGAGGAGUAUGUCAACUAAAACUGUCACUGUGACAGUGGUA